rnacentral:rRNA from 1 species
UACGUAGGGGGCGAGCGUUGUCCGGAAUCAUUGGGCGUAAAGCGCGUGUAGGCGGCUCGGUAAGUCUGCUGUGAAAGUCCAGGGCUCAACCCUGGAAUGCCGGUGGAAACUGUCGGGCUCGAGUCCGGAAGAGGCGAGUGGAAUUCCUGGUGUAGCGGUGAAAUGCGCAGAUAUCAGGAGGAACACCAAUGGCGAAGGCAGCUCGCUGGGACGGUACUGACGCUGAGACGCGAAAGCGUGGGGAGCAAACAGG